GUCGUACGCUACGGAAGGAAUUAUCGGCGCUCGCUCCCUUUGCUCGUUCGCUAGCAGUUUGUGAUUCUUGUUUUGUUUUACAGUGAACUGCAAAUACUUUCAAAGUGCAGAGCAGGAUGCAGUUCCUACAGAUAUUUCAUCUAAAAACGUCAUGAAUAUUUAUUCCAGUGCAAAGGAAAAGUACUCCUUCAAAUAGUGGGAUUGAUCAGUGAAAAGUGAUAGUGCUAAUCGUUUUUCGAAACAUGUAGAAGAGACCUUUUCUUCGCUGUGUUUUGAAAAAUAACCUCGCAUCUCAAAUUUAAGUAUAACAACAGCUUAAAUAACCACACACAUUCAAGUUGAAUACAUAAGGACAUCAACAACUGCAACAAAAAUCAAAGAAAACUCUCGUUGUUUUUUUUUUCAGUGUGUAAAUUGGCUUAAAUACGUGCUCCAGCACCAGUAGCAGCACAAGUGCACAAGUUAGUUAGCCCUCCUGAAGCAGGGCCUCAACUCCUCAACAACACGUUAUUGAAGACGACGGCGAUGUUGAUGCUGGUCGGUGUUUUCAAUGUGAAUUGUGGGUUGUGACAGUAGAGUGCAGUAGGAUUUAAUUUUUAUUUAUGGCGCACCAUUGGAUUGCAGUUCGUCCGUCAAAAUGUGUGGUGUGGAAAAAGAGAAAUAACUAAAAAAAAAACAGCACGCUUCUGGCCAGUUUUUACGAACUGCAUGUCGAGUGUGUUUUUUGUUUUUGAGUGUUCAACACUAGGUCUCAGUUCAACUUUACCUGAUUCCCGUCGACGUGAUGGUUCGAUAUGAUAAGAAGAUGUGCUGCUAGUGCUGAAUAAAUGUUGUUCUGUCUACUAGGGUGGUCUGAAAACCACAAACUUUAAGUGCAAUUUUUGUAUAGGAACAUUAUUUAUUUGUUUAUUUGAAAGAUCUCAAAGGAUGUUGAUUAAGUUUUAUUUUCAGCUUUAGUUUUAAUUCAGUUGAAAGUGCUGUUCACAUAGUAUAACAAUUGGGUGUGGAUGAGAAGAAAAAUUAAGUCAAACAGAAGAAACACUCGAUGGCACGAUUUGUUGGACAAACUCUACGCAUAAAAUAACUUUC